GAUAGAAGCACAAGGAUCACUGUCUCUGGGGUGAAACACAAAUAAUGUUUAACAGUGAAAGCAGUGAACAGGAGUUUUGCGAUGGAGUUCUUCAGGUAAAGGAAGAGUGACUAUGUGACCCUUGGGACUACAUCUCCGAUGAUGCACCAGAGGUGAGGAAGGCAGCUAAAUCAUGGAAGUACCUGGCCAUUGUGAAGCAUGGCAGACAUGGUCUGGUUGAGGGGCCUGACUCAUGAGGAAAUCAAUCUACAACUCCCAUAAGGAAAAAAUCACCACCACAACAUGAAGAAAAAGAUCUGCUUAUCAAAGGAUAUGCCAUCAAAGGGGAAAGUCACCAAUAUGCCAUUGCUUGAAAAUCUGCCAAUACUCUUUGAGGAAAGAGAUAAAAGGAUGCUAAGUGGAGAAAAAUGUCAGAGAAAUUAUUUUUAACAUGUGACCAUUGCCAAGUUUCACUUCAAAAACAGGUCUGAGUUGAGAAGCAUCCC